rnacentral:piRNA from 1 species
AGCAAGAACAAAGGUGAUUGGAAGGGU